rnacentral:rRNA from 1 species
UACGUAGGAUGCAAGCGUUGUCCGGAAUUAUUGGGCGUAAAGAGCGCGCAGGCGGUCUGACAAGUCAGAUGUGAAAGAAGCCGGCUUAACCGGCAAGGGUCAUUUGAAACUGACAGACUAGAGUGCACAAGAGGAUAGUGGAAUUCCCGGUGUAGUGGUGAAAUGCGUAGAUAUCGGGAGGAACACCAGUGGCGAAGGCGACUAUCUGGGG